UGGGUCACCUCAUUCCAGCUGGACAGAGAGU
rnacentral:piRNA from 1 species